CCCAGCAUCUCUUCUUCGUUCUCUUCCCUCCCACCCCCAAUCCCCUUCCUUCAUAGCUUCUUCUCAACUAAAAGUAACAAGUUUACACAAACACAACAGAAAUCAUAGAACAACCUACUACUUCUUCUUCUUUCCCACCUUCUCCUUCGAUCAUUGGGUGAGUUAUUAUGAGGAGGAACAGUGUUAUUGUAUUCUCUCAUUGCGCUUGCCGCUUACUUCUCUCUUCGAUUUCAAGCUCAAGCUGCUCCUGCAGGGCCAUUGAUUAACCAUCUUUCUUCACUUCUCAAAUGGACAAAAUCUAGUGCCUCCAAGACGCCAAAUUCAGAUGGGAGUGUUCUUCAAUUUGAGAAUGACUAUGGUAGAAGGAAAGGGAUUGGGGUGGGAGGGAAGAGACCGAAGAAGAGAUGGUGGGGUAGAUGGGUGGGGUUGGGUGAGAUUUUUUUUUUUUUUAAUAUUAUUUUUAUGGGUAAAGUACUAAAUUGGUCUCCUAGGUUUGGGCGUAAUUCUGUUUUGGUCCUUAAGGUU